GUUAAUUUCAUCUGAGAACGUGCCGCCCUCCUUUUUGCGAUGUGCAAAGAUCGUGCGCAAGUCGUGCGUUUUUUGGAGCGCCAGUCACGUACGAGUCGUUCAAGGAAUCGAAGGAAUGUACUACGGGCGCUCGUAGGACUCCGCAGCAUGUCCGCAGCUGAUGGCUGACGCCCGUGGCUACCGACACGAGACCGGCUACCGACUGCGUGACAGUAUGAAAGAAGCUACUGCCAUAGGGUGAGGAUCUUCGCGACACCUGUGAGGUCUGCUAGCAUUGCUUUACGCGCCUCAAGGAAAACCUGUCUACAUCUAUGAGAAUUGCGAUGAAGUAGUCGAGGCAUUUCUUCAGGAAGAAGCGAUUGAUAUCUUGAACAGGUGCGCCCACCUUUCCUCUGAUGCCUGUAGGUCCAUCUUGGCCCACGACUGUAAAUGGAAAACCAAAAGUGGCGGUGGUGGUGUUCUCUGUCAGAGAAACAGCAAAAGUACUAUCGCACAACGAAACAUUGCACAACUGAAGCAUCGCCUGUGCCUCAUGCUGCUGUUUCAUCAAAGAUCAAGGUCAUCGCCCUUGGAGGGACUUUAUGCAUGGCAGCAUGGUUCGAGUUCCACACGGAGAAUCCUGAAGCUAAUUCUUCCAAGGCAGAGCGGGGCAUGCUGAAAGUUAUCAGAAGGCCGAAAGAAUAAAUCGGUGGUUCAUCUGCAUGUACAACCAUCGUCAAGUGUUAUCAUGUACUGUUUUUUGCAGCUGCAUAAUAUUAAACAGUCCGAGUCUGCCCCAGCAGCCCAUAUG